rnacentral:rRNA from 1 species
GAUGAACGCUGGCGGCGUGCCUAAUACAUGCAAGUCGAGCGGUAAGGCCUCUUCGGAGGUACACGAGCGGCGGACGGCUGAGUAACACGUAGGAACAUACCCCAAAGUGAGGGAUAACUGCUCGAAAGAGUAGCUAAUACCGCAUGUGGUCUUCGGAUUAAAGCUUCGGCGCUUUGGGAAUGGCCUGCGUCUGAUUAGCUAGAUGGUGAGGUAAUGGCUCACCAUGGCGACGAUCAGUAGCUGGUCUGAGAGGAUGAUCAGCCAGACUGGGACUGAGACACGGCCCAGACUCCUACGGGAGGCAGCAGUAGGGAAUUUUCCACAAUGGGCGAAAGCCUGAUGGAGCAACGCCGCGUGCAGGAUGAAUGCCUUCGGGUUGUAAACUGCUUUUAUAUGUGACGAAUAUGACGGUAGCAUAUGAAUAAGGAUCGGCUAACUCCGUGCCAGCAGCCGCCGCAG